UGUGGAGGCGAUCAUGAAUCGGAGGUGUUGGUAUGCCUGAGUUUGAAUCGGAGAUGUUGGUAUUCGUAAGAGUUUUGUUUACAUUUGCAUUUGGGACGCAUUUCAUGUUUACCACCGCAUUCCCCGAAGUCUCAAUGGCCCCCUAGCCAAUUUUGGUUGCUAGGGGUGAGUAUGGGCAAACACUAGAAUAAUACCAAAUUUUUGCCCGCCCCACACUAAGCGGAGUGAAGGGACUGUGUACUGUGUAAGGCACGGAAAAGCGACAAACAAGAUCAACUGGCAGAAUGGAGAAGUGCUAAGAAGACACACAUUUAUUGAAGAUGAAGGCUGUAUGAGGAUUCAGAGGACCAACCUAAAAGCAGCGUGAUGACCUUGGGUAACAGCGACGCUCAGCGAAAGGAACAAAAGGAAGCGCCGGAUAUCCCACUCCAGAGACGCCCACUUAGCAGGUUGGUGAGUAGAGCCAUGGUUGCCUCCUUCACCCAGCCUCCUCCACACAACG